rnacentral:rRNA from 1 species
CGAACGGGUGAGUAACGCGUGAGGAACCUGCCUCAAAGAGGGGGACAACAGUUGGAAACGACUGCUAAUACCGCAUAAGCCCACGGCUCGGCAUCGAGCAGAGGGAAAAGGAACAAUCCGCUUUGAGAUGGCCUCGCGUCCGAUUAGCUAGUUGGUGAGGUAAUGGCCCACCAAGGCGACGAUCGGUAGCCGGACUGAGAGGUUGAACGGCCACAUUGGGACUGAGACACGGCCCAG